GACGAACGCUGGCGGCGUGCUUAACACAUGCAAGUCGAACGGAAAGGCCCCUUUGGGGGUACUCGAGUGGCGCAAGGGGGAGUAACACGUGAGUAACAUGCCCUUGAAUUCGGGGUAACUUCAGGAAACCGGGGCUAAUACCGGAUAGGAAUCCUUGCUGCAUGGUGGGGGUUGGGAAGCUUCGGCCGUUUUGGGUGGAAUCGCGGCUUAUCAGCUUGUUGGUGGGGGAGUGGCUUACACAGGCGUUGACGGGUAGCCGGGCUGAGAGGGCGACCGGCCACCUUGGGGCUGAGGUACGGCCCAGGCUCCUAAGGGGGGGAGCAGUGGGGAAUAUUGCAAAAUGGGCGGCAGCCUGAUGCAGCAACGCCGCGGGCGGGAUGACGGGCUUCGGGUUGUAAACCGCUUUCAGCAGGGGCGAAGCUUGUGGUGACGGUACCUGCAGAAGAAGCACCGGCUAACUACGUG
rnacentral:rRNA from 1 species